AACGAACGCUGGCGGCAGGCUUAACACAUGCAAGUCGAACGCCCCGCAAGGGGAGUGGCAGACGGGUGAGUAACACGUGGGAAUCUACCCAGUUCUACGGAACAACUGAGGGAAACUUCAGCUAAUACCGUAUACGCCCUACGGGGGAAAGAUUUAUCGGAAUUGGAUGAGCCCGCGUUGGAUUAGCUAGUCGGUGGGGUAAUGGCCUACCAAGGCGACGAUCCAUAGCUGGUCUGAGAGGAUGAUCAGCCACACUGGGACUGAGACACGGCCCAGACACCUACGGGAGGCAGCAGUGGGGAAUAUUGGACAAUGGGCGAAAGCCUGAUCCAGCCAUGCCGCGUGAGUGAUGAAGGCCCUAGGGUUGUAAAGCUCUUUCAGUGGGGAAGAUAAUGACGGUACCCACAGAAGAAGCCCCGGCUAACUUCGUGCCAGCCGCCGCAGUAAUAC
rnacentral:rRNA from 1 species